GUCUACAGCCAUACCACCCUGGACACGCCUGAUCUCAUUUGAUCUUGGAAGCUAAGCAGGGUCAGGCCUGGUUAGUACUUGGAUGGCAGAAAUGUUAAAGUAUUCCUUCAUCCUGUGACA
ensembl:rRNA 5S_rRNA 5S ribosomal RNA